GUGGGGAAUCUUGCGCAAUGGGCGAAAGCCUGAAGCAGCCAUGCCGCGUGAAUGAUGAAGGUCUUAGGAUUGUAAAAUUCUUUCACCGGGGACGAUAAUGACGGUACCCGCAGAAGAAGCCCCGGCUAACUCCGUGCCAGCAGCCGCGGUAAUACGGAGGGGGCGAGCGUUGUUCGGAAUCACUGGGCGUAAAGCGCACGUAGGCGGCUACUCCAGUCAGAGGUGAAAGCCCGGGGCUCAACUCCGGAAUUGGCUUUGAAACUAGGUAGCUUGAACGUCGGAGAGGUAAGUGGAAUUCCGAGUGUAGAGGUGAAAUUCGUAGAUAUUCGGAAGAACACCAGUGGCGAAGGCGACUUACUGGACGACUGUUGACGCUGAGGUGCGAAAGCGUGGGGAGCAAACAGGAUUAGAAACCCGGGUAGUCC
rnacentral:rRNA from 1 species